UUUGGCUAGAAAAGAAAAGGGAUAUGAUUAAACUCUCGAAUUUAUCUUCUUGUAUUCAUUGUUUUUUUUCAACGAGAUUAGAAAAAAAAAAAUAAGAAGAGAGGCUGAGUGAAAAGACAAAGAGCAGAAGAAAAAAGUGAAUUUUGAUUUGAAUCUCUAAUUUCAAUCUGAGAGGAAAGAAGGUUAUGGUCAUGAACCCUUCAUUUGGUAGGACUUCUGUAGAAAAUUGAAGGAUUGUUAAAAAGGGGCUUCUCUGUGUUCUUGGUAGAAGAUUACUGGUUUUCUUAUAUGAUUAGGUGUCCCUGGAUUUCAGUUGGCGGACUAUGCAGAUUGAGGUUUGAGUAGCUGGAGUUGAGUGACAGGUAACUGUGAUGUAAGUGGCGUCGAUUUGGGCGAAGGAGAAUUUAACGUUUGGGUCGAUUAGUUGUGUUAACUUAUGUCCUUGAGAGAUCAUUGCUGGUCUCAGUAGGACUGUGCAGUCUAAUAUCUUUCGGAAGGUGUAUUUUCUUGAGUUUUUUGAUUGUAAGUAAGGCUCUACCCUCUGUAUGUAUAUAUUGUAUAUCACCAGAAUAACACACUUGUAAAUUAGAUGGUUAUGUAUAUUAUGAAUAGCCUAGUUUGUAUC